rnacentral:tRNA from 1 species
GGGGAUAUGGCGAAAUUGGUAGACGCUCCGGACUU